rnacentral:rRNA from 1 species
UAAGGAAUAUUGGACAAUGGGCGAAAGCCUGAUCCAGCCAUGCCGCGUGAGUGAAGAAGGCCUUCGGGUUGUAAAGCUCUUUUAGUCGGAAAGAAAGAGUUGCAAUGAAUAAUUGUGAUUUAUGACGGUACCGACAGAAAAAGCACCGGCUAACUACGUGCCAGCAGCCGCGGUAAUACGUAGGGUGCGAGCGUUAAUCGGAAUUACUGGGCGUAAAGGGUGCGCAGGCGGUCUUGCAAGUCAGAUGUGAAAGCCCCGGGCUUAACCUGGGAAUUGCGUUUGAAACUACAAGACUAGAGUGCAGCAGAGGGGAGUGGAAUUCCAUGUGUAGCAGUGAAAUGCGUAGAGAUGUGGAAGAACACCGAUGGCGAAGGCAGCUCCCUGGGUUGACACUGACGCUCAUGCACGAAAGCGUGGGGAGCAAACA